GAUGAACGCUGGCGGCGUGCCUAAUACAUGCAAGUCGAGCGAACGGACGAGAAGCUUGCUUCUCUGAUGUUAGCGGCGGACGGGUGAGUAACACGUGGAUAACCUACCUAUAAGACUGGGAUAACUUCGGGAAACCGGAGCUAAUACCGGAUAAUAUUAUGAACCGCAUGGUUCAUAAGUGAAAGACGGUCUUGCUGUCACUUAUAGAUGGAUCCGCGCUGCAUUAGCUAGUUGGUAAGGUAACGGCUUACCAAGGCAACGAUGCAUAGCCGACCUGAGAGGGUGAUCGGCCACACUGGAACUGAGACACGGUCCAGACUCCUACGGGAGGCAGCAGUAGGGAAUCUUCCGCAAUGGGCGAAAGCCUGACGGAGCAACGCCGCGUGAGUGAUGAAGGUCUUCGGAUCGUAAAACUCUGUUAUUAGGGAAGAACAUAUGUGUAAGUAACUGUGCACAUCUUGACGGUACCUAAUCAGAAAGCCACGGCUAACUACGUG
rnacentral:rRNA from 1 species